rnacentral:rRNA from 1 species
CCUACGGGAGGCAGCAGUGAGGAAUAUUGGUCAAUGGACGGGAGUCUGAACCAGCCAAGUAGCGUGAAGGAUGACAGCCCUAUGGGUUUUAAACUUCUUUUAUAUGGGAAUAAAGUGUUCCACGUGUGGGGUUUUGUAUGUACCUUAUGAAUAAGCAUCGGCUAACUCCGUGCCAGCAGCCGCGGUAAUACGGAGGAUGCGAGCGUUAUCCGGAUUUAUUGGGGUUAAAGGGAGCGUAGGUGGAUUGUUAAGUCAGUCGUGAAAGUUUGCGGCUCAACCGUACAAUUGCAGUUGAAACUGGCAGUCUUGAGUAUAGGAGAGGUGGGUGGAAUUCGUGGUGUAGCGGUGAAAUGCUUAGAUAUCACGAAGAACUCCGAUCGCGAAGGCAGCGCACUGGACUGAGACUGACGCUGAGGCUCGAAAGUGUGGGUAUCAAACAGGAUUAGAUACCCGGGUAGUC